GACAGAGGGUGCAAACGUUGUUCGGAAUCACUGGGCGUAAAGCGCGUGUAGGCUGCUGCGCAAGUCGGAUGUGAAAUCCCACGGCUCAACCAUGGAAGUGCAUUCGAAACUGCGUAGCUAGAGUUUUGGAGAGGAAGGCGGAAUACUCGGUGUAGAGGUGAAAUUCGUAGAUAUCGAGUGGAACACCGGUGGCGAAGGCGGCCUUCUGGACAAUGACUGACGCUGAAACGCGAAAGCGUGGGGAGCAAACAGGA
rnacentral:rRNA from 1 species